CCUUCGGGUGGCAGCAGUGGGGAAUAUUGGUCAAUGGGCGAAAGCCUGACCCAGCAACGCCGCGUGAAGGAUGAAGGCUUUCGGGUUGUAAACUUCUUUUGUCAGGGAAGAGCAGAAGACGGUCCCUGUAGAAUAAGCCACGGCUAACUAUGCGCCAGCACCCGCUGUUAUGCGUCGGUGGCAAGCGUUUUCCGGAUUUACUGGGUGUAAAGGGCGUGUAGCCGGGCUGAAAAGUCAGAUGUGAAAUCCGGGGGCUUAACGCACGAAAUGCUUUUGACACUGUUAUUCUGGAGUAUCGGAGAGGCAGGAGGAAUUCCUGGUGUAGCGGUGAAAUGCGUAGAUAUUAAGAGGAACACCAGUGGCGAAGGCGACCUGCUAGACGACAACUGACGGUGAUGCGCGAAAGCGUGGGGAGCAAACAGGAUUAGAUACCCUUGUAGUC
rnacentral:rRNA from 1 species